rnacentral:rRNA from 1 species
UACGGAGGAUGCAAACGUUAUCCGGAAUUAUUGGGCGUAAAGCGUCCGCAGGUGGCACUUCAAGUCUGCUGUCAAAGACCGGGGCUUAACCCUGGAAAGGCGGUGGAAACUGAAGUGCUAGAGUGUGGCAGGGGUAGAGGGAAUUCCCGGUGUAGCGGUGAAAUGCGUAGAGAUCGGGAAGAACAUCGGUGGCGAAAGCGCUCUACUGGGCCAUAACUGACACUCAGGGACGAAAGCUAGGGGAGCGAAUGGG